rnacentral:rRNA from 1 species
AUUCCUACGGGAGGCAGCAGUGGGGAAUAUUGCACAAUGGGCGCAAGCCUGAUGCAGCCAUGCCGCGUGUAUGAAGAAGGCCUUCGGGUUGUAAAGUACUUUCAGCAGUGAGGAAGGUGGGUAUGUUAAUAGCAUAUUCAUUUGACGUUAGCUGCAGAAGAAGCACCGGCUAACUCCGUGCCAGCAGCCGCGGUAAUACGGAGGGUGCGAGCGUUAAUCGGAAUUACUGGGCGUAAAGCGCAUGCAGGUGGUUUGUUAAGUCAGAUGUGAAAGCCCGGGGCUCAACCUCGGAAUUGCAUUUGAAACUGGCAAACUAGAGUACUGUAGAGGGGGGUAGAAUUUCAGGUGUAGCGGUGAAAUGCGUAGAGAUCUGAAGGAAUACCGGUGGCGAAGGCGGCCCCCCUGGACAGAUACUGACACUCAGAUGCGAAAGCGUGGGGAGCAAACAGGAUUAGAUACCCUGGUAGGCAUAG